GGGCUGCUUUCCGCGGGCUUUUCAGUCACGCCGCAUUCAUUCGCUCCUUCAAUAAGUACACAGGGCAGCUCUCGGAGGGCGCGGGGAGUUGGGUCUGUUUCGUGUUUCCUGCACCGAAUGAAAUAAAGCGCCGCCAAUACCGACGACGCCGCCUUCCCGAGCAUCUCCGCUCUCGACUCCGGAGGUAACUGCCCAACGGACCUUGAUAACUGUCAUUGCCCUACGCCCCCUGUGUUUCUAUGACCUCGCUGUGUUCCGUGGGGUGCAUCGAAAGCCUUUGUACCUCCCUGUCACCCUGCCGUCUGGCUGCGGCUGCUCUUGGCUCAACCCGGGUCCGGCCUCGUGCGCUUCCGCGGCCGCUUGGACUGCGCGGGGUGAGGGCAGCACGAGGAACUCAUCUCAGCCUCUGCUAAACCCGGGCCGUGGGCAUCUCGCUGGAUCUGCAGAGGAACCCUAUGAGGCAUCAAUGAGAAUGGGAUUCGUCACUUACAAUUUUCCACGUCUGAUGAUUGGAUGGUUUUCCACAGUCUAGCUUCUGGCACCAUACAUUUCAAGCUUUGUUUCUCUCCACUACCUACAUCCUUUUGGAGGCUGGGAGCCAUAGGAUGCUGUGACAGAUUGUAUUUUACAAAAUGGUCACAACAAGAUCUCCCAUCUGACAGGCUCUUCUUGUAAUGAGACAUUGACAUUCCUCUCCUUGAGGCGUGGGUCCGUCCUCCUUCCCCUUGAACUUGAGUGGAUCUGAGAUUGCAGCAGAAGCAACACGAUGUGACUUCCAGGGUUAGGUGCUAGAACGUGAUGCAGCUUCUGCCCGGCCCUCUGGGGACACCGGCCUGUGGAACCCAGCCGCCAUACCGUGAGGAAGCCCAGGCCACAGCCAGCCAGCUUCAACUUUCAGAUAUGGGAGUGAGAAGCCUCCAGAUGAUUCCAGCCUCCAGCCCUCAAGCCACCGCAGCCGACACCACGUGAAGCAGUGACAGGCUGCCCCAGCUGAGCCCCACCUACUGCAGGAUUGUGAGCAAAACAAAUGAUCGCUGUCAUUUUUCAGCCAACAACGGAAACUCUGCGGGUGACCUGCUAUGUCGCAAUAGAUACCCAGGACACACACAUUUAUAUUGUGAAACAAGCCCUGGCGUGUACCUCCAAGUCACCAUAUGGGGCAAGUCAGCCCAGGGGGCAGUAGGAGUGUUCCCAGAGGCCACUGCUCCUCUGCCAUGUGUGAUGGCUCACACCCACUUUCCACGCACAUCAUAUAUAUGUACAUCCCUAAACAAAACCUAAUUGUCCCCUCACUUCCGCUUGCUCUUCGCCAGAUGCCAUAUGCCCACGGCUCCUCUUACACUGCUGGACCCGAUGGGAGGUGUGCUGGAAUGGAAGUCAAACUGGAAACAGAUGGUGGUCAUGGUCUGAACAAAACAUACAAGCGCCCUAUUCCGCCUGAGCCAAGCUCAGGAGGGGCCAGUACCCUUCCUUCCCCUCUGACCACUGCAUGUGUCACCCUGACGUGUCUCCUCCCGAAGACAGAGACCCUGCCUUUCUGGAUGGUUGUCAUCAGCCACCUUCUCCGCUGUGCUUGGAAUAAGUGCUUUGGUAGAGGCAGAGGACAUCGAGAUGGGCCCAGCCGAGCUUCAAGAUGGAAGGAACGGGGGGCCCUCAAUCACUCCUGGAGACGAGAGCCUCCCAUCCUUCGGGAGCCCCCACGUUGGACUUUACGUCAGUGAUAAAUCGUCUUCCAUUGUGGUAAGCCACUGCCCCUCGGGGAGUUAACUGUUGCAGCAGCCAGCUUUUCCCUGACUAUUACACCCCCAGGAAACACACUUCCUCCUGAGCUGAUGCUUAUGUUGUGGACGGUGGGGCCGGGAUCCCCCCAGACCCCCCCUGGCAGUGCAGUGAGUGGGAUGCGGUCUUGUCCGUUGCCAUCCGAGAUCUCAGACCACAAGGCGAUGCUUGGUGUCCUUGCUGAGCUCAGAGCCGACUGAGUCUGGGUGGGACCUUCUUGUCCUCAGAGCCUACCCUCCGUGUGGCUGUGGCCUGACAGACUCUGGGAGCUCCCCUUGCUCUCCUGGGUCUCUGAAUGGAGGGUCUCUAACCAUUGCCCACGGGGAAUGGAAUCCCUCUCGGGGAGCAAAAGCCUACAGAACAACCUCUCUGAGGAGCCGAUGGCCUUCACCCUCCAUAUGGCUCAUACACAGGCCACCUUCCUCCAGGGUCCUCAGGCUCCGUGUGAGGCACAGGGAGCCCCUUAGCGCCCAAGAGCUCACGUGACUCAUUCUAACGUGAGCAGCGAGGAGGAAGUCAAAGAAACGAGAAUCAUGAUUUGAGCGAGGCCCACGGUGGGUAUUUCUUGGCCAAGGAAUGGGGAGCCCAGCCAAAAUUCCCUGCCAAAAUUUCUCAGCUCUGAGAGUCACGGAUGAAGGGCAUAGGCACUUUCUGCCUCAUUAACCAAACUAGGAGGGGCGGCUUGGGAGGAAAAAUAUCCAGACCACUUCGGAGCACACGAAGUUAGAGGGGUCCGUGCGGGUGCCCACAUAGAUGCUUCUAGCAGCUGCACGGGAAUGGGGACCUGAGAGGGCUGAAUCGGGGUGCAAACUUGGGUGUGGAGCCAAGUGAUGAUGACCGCGCUGAGGGAGGGGAUUGCUGAGAGAGCCAGAGAGAAUGCUAAGAAGAGGUUUACGGGGCAAAGUGGGUCACUUGAGUGGCCAGGACAGCUAGACCAGGAGGCCAGUGGAAUCCAGGAGGAGAGGGUGGAAGAGAAGCAGGAGAGAGGGGUGUCACAGGAGCUGUGUGGGGGGCGAGUGAGGGAGAAGGCGUGGUCAGCCAGGUGGGGCAGCCAGAGGCCAGGAGGGCAGGGGACGUGGAAAGGCCAUCGCAUCUGGUGACACAAGCUCAUUGGCAGCCCUGCGAGAACAAAAGUUAACCCAGAAGGAACAGUCACUGGUUGGCAAGGGGAAGCCAGGUGGAGAUUUAAAAUUUAUGGCAGAGAGUCUGCAAAAAGGAUAAACUGCCCUGUAGGGACUGAGCUAAUUGUAUCACGUGGUGGGCCUGGGGCUGGGCCAGUCUAGCAGCACAAAACAGGAGCCCACUUGCACAAGCUUAAGUAAAAAGGGAGAAUUUAUAGGAAGAAUAUGAGACUCCGAGAUUCAAGGACAGGAAGUGCAGCCCGCCUCUGGGGGAAGGAACCUUGGCAGCUCCGCGUCUUCUCCCUUCCCUAUCUCUGCUGCUCUGACGUCUCUGAUCGCUGCUUCCCUCCCAGAUGGUGUCUUUCUUCUCUCUCAGCUUUUUCUGCUGUUCCGUGUGCAUGGUGGAACAUGGCUGCCUCAGGUGGCCCGCCUGGUCUGUUCACUUCCUUCUCCUCUGGGCUCACACUGUGCCUGCCACAAGGUGUUCAAGCAGCCAGUGAAGAUUGGCUAGAACCACCAAGGUAUCUGGAGGCCCAGUUCCCGAGAAAGCAUCUGAUUGGUCCAGUUGGGUCAGGUGCCCAUCCCUUAUCCAAUCAGUGGUGGCCAAGGGGAGGGUCUUGUGCCCGGGGCUCCUCAGUAGGGGCCUGGGAGUAGCAUCUUUGGGAAGCCAGCUGAGGCAGGUUCUUGAAGAGGAGAAUGCAGGUGGCUCACAUUCUCUGAUGUUCCGGCCAUGCUGCAGGCCCCUGAUCCCCCUGGAACAGAGAAAGGCUCCCGAGUUCAGGCUUCACUUUAAUGAUGAUCAAUAAACAAUGUGGAGGCCCCGAAGGAUGGGGCGUGUGCGCUGACACCUAAGUGGCAAAUGAGACAUUCUCUCCUCCACUUCCCCCGCCCCCAUGCACACACCCAAGCCCAGCGACACAACCCAAAGAACUCAUCAGGGCCUCUUGUGACAGUUAGAUGUCCCCAGGCUGAGCUCUCAUCUUCAGUUUCCUUCCACAAUAACCUGAAAAGAGAAGAGCUAAAUUGGAGGGAGCUGCGGCAGAGGGGGACACAAUACUUGCCCUGCUUGGAAUGGCCGUGACCCCACAGUAUGUGGGUCAGGCAGAGUCUCAACCGGAAGCAGUUAGGAUAGUUUGACAAGAUUCAGGGACAAAGGGACUAGUCCACAAAGAUGUGGGUGUAGGGGAACCACAGGAAUAACACAAGAAGCAGAAGCUGUUAGUGGUGGAGUUUUUGUGGGUUUUGGGGUUUUGUCUUGUUUUGUUUGUUUUUUAAUCACCCUGGUCCCGGAGGUGAGUAGAGAAGUCCAUGUUAAAAGGAGCAGGGACCUAGGAGUUCCCUGGUGGCUCGGUAGGUUAAGUAUCUGGCCUUGCCACUGCUAUGGAGCAGGUUUGAUCC
rnacentral:lncRNA from 1 species